UGGGGAAUAUUGGGCAAUGGGCGCAAGCCUGACCCAGCAACGCCGCGUGAAGGAAGAAGGCCCUCGGGUUGUAAACUUCUUUUAUCAGGGACGAAUAGAUGACGGUACCUGAUGAAUAAGCCACGGCUAACUACGUGCCAGCAGCCGCGGUAAUACGUAGGUGGCAAGCGUUAUCCGGAUUUACUGGGUGUAAAGGGCGUGUAGGCGGGACUGCAAGUCAGAUGUGAAAACCAUGGGCUCAACCCAUGGCCUGCAUUUGAAACUGUAGUUCUUGAGUGUUGGAGAGGCAGGCGGAAUUCCGUGUGUAGCGGUGAAAUGCGUAGAUAUACGGAGGAACACCAGUGGCGAAGGCGGCCUGCUGGACAAUAACUGACGCUGAGGCGCGAAAGCGUGGGGAGCAAACAGG
rnacentral:rRNA from 1 species